CGGGUGAGUAACGCGUGAGGAACCUGCCUCAAAGAGGGGGACAACAGUUGGAAACGACUGCUAAUACCGCAUAAGCCCACAGGUCGGCAUCGACCAGAGGGAAAAGGAGCAAUCCGCUUUGAGAUGGCCUCGCGUCCGAUUAGCUAGUUGGUGAGGUAAUGGCCCACCAGGGCAACGAUCGGUAGCCGGACUGAGAGGUUGAACGGCCACAUUGGGACUGAGACACGGCCCAG
rnacentral:rRNA from 1 species